GUGCCAGCAGCCGCGGUAAUACGUAGGGGGCGAGCGUUGUCCGGAAUGAUUGGGCGUAAAGGGCGCGUAGGCGGCCCGGUAAGUCUGGAGUGAAAGUCCUGCUUUUAAGGAGGGAAUUGCUUUGGAUACUGUCGGGCUUGAGUGCAGGAGAGGUAAGUGGAAUUCCCAGUGUAGCGGUGAAAUGCGUAGAGAUUGGGAGGAACACCAAUGGCGAAGGCGACUUACUGGACUGUAACUGACGCUGAGGCGCGAAAGUGUGGGGAGCAAACAGGAUUAGAUACCCUGGUAGUCCACACUGUAAACGAUGAAUGCUAGGUGUAGGGGGUAUCGACCCCUUCUGUGCCGCAGUUAACACAAUAAGCAUUCCGCCUGGGGAGUACGGCCGCAAGGUUGAAACUCAAAGGAAUUGACGGGGGCCCGCACAAGCAGCGGAGCAUGUGGUUUAAUUCGACGCAACGCGAAGAACCUUACCAGGUCUUGACAUCCAGUAAAAGCCAUAGAGAUAUGGUGUGAGCUUGCUCAUACUGAGACAGGUGGUGCAUGGUUGUCGUCAGCUCGUGUCGUGAGAUGUUGGGUUAAGUCCCGCAACGAGCGCAACCCUUAUUUUCAGUUACUAACAGGUAAAGCUGAGGACUCUGAAGAGACUGCCGGGGACAACUCGGAGGAAGGUGGGGACGACGUCAAAUCAUCAUGCCCCUUAUGACCUGGGCUACACACGUGCUACAAUGGCCACCACAGAGAGGAGCGAACCCGUAAGGGGGAGCGGAUCUCAAAAAAGUGGUCCCAGUUCGGAUUGUGGGCUGCAACCCGCCCACAUGAAGUCGGAGUUGCUAGUAAUCGCGGAUCAGCAUACCGCGGUGAAUACGUUCCCGGGCCUUGUACACACCGCCCGU
rnacentral:rRNA from 1 species